UAGAGGAAGUAAAAGUCGUAACAAGGUCUCCGUUGGUGAACCAGCGGAGGGAUCAUUACCGAGUUUACAACUCCCAAACCCCUGUGAACAUACCAAUUGUUGCCUCGGCGGAUCAGCCCGCUCCCGGUAAAACGGGACGGCCCGCCAGAGGACCCCUAAACUCUGUUUCUAUAUGUAACUUCUGAGUAAAACCAUAAAUAAAUCAAAACUUUCAACAACGGAUCUCUUGGUUCUGGCAUCGAUGAAGAACGCAGCAAAAUGCGAUAAGUAAUGUGAAUUGCAGAAUUCAGUGAAUCAUCGAAUCUUUGAACGCACAUUGCGCCCGCCAGUAUUCUGGCGGGCAUGCCUGUUCGAGCGUCAUUUCAACCCUCAAGCCCUCGGGUUUGGUGUUGGGGAUCGGCGAGCCCUCGCGGCAAGCCGGCCCCGAAAUAUAGUGGCGGUCUCGCUGCAGCUUCCAUUGCGUAGUAGUAAAACCCUCGCAACUGGUACGCGGCGCGGCCAAGCCGUUAAACCCCCAACUUCUGAAUGUUGACCUCGGAUCAGGUAGGAAUACCCGCUG
rnacentral:rRNA from 1 species